CGCGAAGGAAGUCUGCCACGCCGGCGAUUUGGCGCUGUUGUCGCAGCAAGUUCAGGAGCGGAGAGCACUGCUUGAUGUUGAGACACAUGCCGGCCCGGCCGCUUGGAUUUGUGCAGCCAUCUGUUGGCAAUAACAGUCCUGCCUGUGUGCUUCGCUUCGAGACGUAAACACAUUCAAAAGCGACUUACAUUGUGUAUCGUAAGAACUCACCUGUGUUGUUGACGUGUGACGACCGCAGCUUCACUGAGCAUCCGGCGUGCUGACUGCGACCUUCAUCCAUCUGUUCGUUACUUCUCCAGCCACCGGUCGCUGCUGAGUGACGCGUGGGGGAUUUCCUCUCAUGACCUUUACAGCUGAGAACUUGUUCGGAGGGUUCCAUGUCAGUUCAGUUGUACUUUCCAUGGCAGGUUAUUUAUUAUUCGUUCUAUGAACGAAAUGCAUAGCGAGAAAGCAUAAGGUCAUGUCUGUCCAGGCGAUUCAACUCGAUAAGCACUGGGCGAAAUUUGAUGUCGAGGUUGUAUUAUUCUGCAAUAUCUCAAAAUCGCAUUUUGAGUAUCCAGUACGAACGGCAAUAACAUAAUGUCUGGAGAAAACAGUCAUGAGAUAGACGUUGAGGUGCUGCGAUCUGAUGGCCAAAGUUGGAACUAUUGAAUAAGAUGGUUUUAAUUCCUCUAUAAGCAUGUUGUGAAGAAUGCAUGAGGAUAUAUUAUGUAUAUUCCGGUACGGAAUACACUUUCAUAGCUUGUUACAAUGACCAGGACUUUUCAGUACUUGUCAAUGGAUCUGUGUUCUAUACCAAAUAAGUUAGACUUGUAGGAGCAAACAGCAGGAUGAUAAUAGCAACUUACUGGUAGAUCCAAUCAGAAUUUUGAAUAGGCUGAAAAAUUUCUUUAACCAGCUCUUAAAUGUUCAUAGGACUGAUGAUAGACAUACGGCUGAACUAUUAGUGCCAGAUCCUAGUUAGAUGAAGUUGAACUACCCAUUGGAAAGUUGAAAAGUUAUAAAUUUCCAGGCAUUUAUCACAUUCCAGCAGAAUUAAUUAAAACAGGUGGAAAAAAUUGCACAUGAAGUUCCAUAAGCUUAUUCAGUUAAUUUGGGGUAAGGAAGAGAUGCCACAGCAAUGGAAGGAAUUAUUCCUGUUCUUAAGAAGGGGGACAACACAGUGUGGUAGUUGCCAAGGAAUUUAUAUUAAACAUUCUUCUGGCGAGAUUAACACCAUAUGUGAGUGAAAUUAUGGGAAAUCAUCAGUAUGGCUUAAGACAAAACAUGUCAUCGAUUGUUUAUGGAUUUCAAAAAAGCCUGUGAUUCUGUUAAGAGAGAAGUUCUGUACCAAAGAAGCUACUGAGUGUAAUAAAAAUGUGCUUCAAUGUAA